GUUUUAAUUUGAAUAAGGAGAGUUGCAAGGUCAAUAUCUAAAGCACAUAGAUGUACCUAAAGAAAAAAGUAAAGGAAAAGAUCUUGCUGAAUUUACCUGAAAUGUUCUCAAGGAGUUUAAGAGUGAUAAAAGUAUCCAGGCAAUAAUUUUGGACAAUACAAGUGUUAAUACAGGUAAAGAUAAUGGUUUAGUUGCUUGUCUUGAAAGAAUAUUGAAAAGAAGAAUUCAUUUAACUGGCUGUCUUCUACAUGUUAACGAGUUACCAUUGCGUCAUUUAAUUUCUAAACUUGAUGGUUCUUUUAAUAGCUCAAAUAAUUAUUCGGGACCAGUUGGAAAAUCUUUAACAAAUCCAAUUCAUUUAAAUUUAACUGUUGACUUCAUACAAGUUGAGACAGACGUUGAAUAUCCUCCUCAGUGUGUCA